GCAGACACAUUCCAGCCAAUCAGCAGCAGACCCUCCCUCCCAGGCCCUCCCUCCUGGACAGCUCACUAAGAAUGCAGCUUCACAAUGAAUGUAAAAUGGAUGCUGUCCAGGAGGUGGGAGGGUCUGGGAGGGAGGGUCUGCUGCUGAUUGGCUGGAAUGUGCUG